GCCCAUUUAAAUGAAGCUGGCCUUAAAAUUGGAACGAUACAGAGAAGAUUAGCAUGGCCCCUGUGCAAGGAUGACACGCAAAUUCGUGAAGCAUUCCAUAUUUCA